rnacentral:rRNA from 1 species
UGCAGUCGAGCGCGCCCUUCGGGGUGAGCGGCGGACGGGUUAGUAACGCGUGGGAAUAUACCCUUUUCUGCGGAAUAGCCUCUGGAAACGGAGAGUAAUACCGCAUACGCCCUUCGGGGGAAAGAUUUAUCGGGGAAGGAUUAGCCCGCGUUAGAUUAGGUAGUUGGUGGGGUAAUGGCCUACCAAGCCUACGAUCUAUAGCUGGUUUUAGAGGAUGAUCAGCAACACUGGGACUGAGACACGGCCCAGACUCCUACGGGAGGCAGCAGUGGGGAAUCUUGGACAAUGGGCGCAAGCCUGAUCCAGCCAUGCCGCGUGAGUGAUGAAGGCCUUAGGGUCGUAAAGCUCUUUCGCCUGUGAAGAUAAUGACGGUAGCAGGUAAAGAAACCCCGGCUAACUCCGUGCCAGCAGCCGCGGUAAUACGGAGGGGGUUAGCGUUGUUCGGAAUUACUGGGCGUAAAGCGCACGUAGGCGGACUGGAAAGUUGGGGGUGAAAUCCCAGGGCUCAACCCUGGAACUGCCUCCAAAACUAUCAGUCUAGAGUUCGAGAGAGGUGAGUGGAAUUCCGAGUGUAGAGGUGAAAUUCGUAGAUAUUCGGAGGAACACCAGUGGCGAAGGCGGCUCACUGGCUCGAUACUGACGCUGAGGUGCGAAAGUGUGGGGAGCAAACAGGAUUAGAUACCCUGGUAGUCCACACCGUAAACGAUGAAUGCCAGUCGUCGGGUAGCAUGCUAUUCGGUGACACACCUAACGGAUUAAGCAUUCCGCCUGGGGAGUAC